GUCUGCUCGUAUCCAACGCUGGCACUUUUUUAUAAACCCCUUCCUUUUUCCGCUUCUCCCUAGCUUCUCUCAAACACCCAAGAACAUCAUGUUUAAUAUUCCUUGUUUUUUCUUGCUGUGCAGGCUGGAUACAAACAUAUUGACUGUGCCAAAAUUUACGAGAAUCAGGAAGAAGUAAUGAUUAAUCACUAAUGAAUAAAAUCUUUCUAGAUCCUUUUUAUUUGCUCUCUUGUCUCAUCGGAGAUAUGGAAAUCCAUAUAUUCUGUAGAUCGGUGCUGCUUUGAAGAAGUUAUUUGAAGAGGGUGUUGUGAAACGGGAAGAUCUGUUCAUCACCUCUAAACUCUGGUACCCGUCCAGUGUUUAUUAUCUAUAUAUGUAAGAGUAAAAUUUGUAAAAUAACCUAUAAAUCGAUCGAUUGAUUCAGGAGUGCUGAUCAUGGCUCGGAAGAUGUUCCUGAAGCUUUUAACGAAACACUCAAAGCUUUGCAGAUUGAUUAUUUAGAUCUUUAUCUUGUGAGUAUAUCUACAUUGUACUAAAUAAAUAAGGA
rnacentral:lncRNA from 1 species